UCACGGGCUUGAUUCUAACACUAAUUAAAAUGUGAUCCAGUUCACGGGCCUGAUUCUAACACUAACUAGCAUGUGAUUGAGUUCACGGGCCUGAUUCUAACACUAAUUAAAUGUGAUUGAGUUCACGGGCCUAAUUAUAACACUAAGUAAAAUGUGAUUGAGUUCACGGGCCUGAUUCUAACACUAAUUAGGAUAUGCUCCAGUUCAGGGGGCUGACUCUAACACUAAUUAGGAUGUGAUUAAGAUCACAGGCCUCUAAUUAGAAUUAUAGCAUUAUUAUUUAUUUCCACAAAUCACAUUUUCAUACAACUCUUUAUAGUGAAAUGUUACACACAUCUAUUUUGAUUUAAAUCGUAUCAUUGAUUAUUCAUCUAUAACUUAGACUUUUGAAAUAGUUUAUUAUACCCCCCGCAACAAGUUGUGGGGGGGGGGGUAUACUGGAAUCGGGUUGUCCGUCUGUCUGUCCGUCCGUCCGUCUGUCCGUCCGUCUGUAGACGCAAUGGUUUCCGGGCUCUAAAGCAUUAUCCUUUCCACCUACCGUUACCAUAUCAUAUAUAUGAACUACCCAUGGGAUGAAGAUGUUCCCUAUCGAUUUUGGGGUCAAAAGGUCAAAGGUCACGCGCACUGGACAUCAAAGUAGCAAUAUGGUUUCCAUUUAAAUUCUUUAACGGCUUUUUUCAUCGCAUGGAGAUGCUGUGUUCCUAGAUACCUUUUGGAUCAUAAUAUUGAAGUUUUACCUAUAUAUUUCCAACACCCUUUAGGAGAUUGGGGUAAGCGGGGGGUAUUCUUAGUGAGCAUUGCUCACAGUACCUCUUGUUUUAACAGUUUUUUGUUUUUUUUUACAAUAACUAUCGGAAAAGACUAACAAAAUUUAUGUUCCUAUCAUGCAUAAAUCUAAAUAAAUCAUUGAUUUUGCAAAAUCUGAUGACAUCAUAGGAGGGUGAAAUUACUUUAAGUUAUGUUUAGUGCUGUGUGUAUAUAAACAUGCACUCAUAUAAUUAUAUCUUCCCUCUUCCAGGGGGAGACAUAUUGUAUUUGUACUUUCUGUCCGUCCUUCCUUCUGUCACAAAAUCUUGUGAACGCUUCUCCACCUAUAUGGCUUAUCAGAUAGACUUGAAACUUUGUACAAUGCUUCAUUGUCAUUUACAGAUGUGAAUAUUGUUGGGACGGGAGGAUCCAAUUGUUUUCCUAAGAGUUAUAGUGGAUCUAAGAGGGGUGGAAGAUGUAAAAUAGCUUAUGAACUCUUCUCCUCCCAUAUGGCUUAUUGGAUAGACUUGAAACUUUGUACAAUGCUUAAUUGUCAUUUGUAGAUGUGCAUAUUGUCGGAAUGGGAGGAUCCAAAGUUUUUCCUAAAAGAUAUAGUGGAUCUAAAAGGGGUGGAGGAUGUUAAAAUACCUUGUGAACACUUCUCCUAUAUGGCUUAUCUGAUAGACUUGAGAAUUUGUACAAUGCUUCAAUGCCAUUUGUAGAUGUGUAAGUUGUAGGGACAGGAGGAUCCAAUUGCUAUCCUUAAAGUUAAAGUGGAUCUGAGGGGUGUAGGGUAUAAAAUAGUUUGUGAACGCUUCUCCUCCUAUAUGGCUUAUCAGAGUUCAUGUCUAUCUUCCUGCCCAUGCUUUCUCCUUCAUACUAUUCAAUACAUUAAGGGGGAUGUUUCCUAUAUUUUACGAAUUAAUUGGUUGAUUGACAACAAACUUGGUACACUUGUACAGCAUAUAUAAGGAGUAGAUGACCCCUAUUGAUUCUUAGGUCACAUGGUCAGUCCACUCUUGACAUAGGAAGGUAUUGUCUGCUCAAUAUUUUGAAUUGGUGAUACUACUAUCAAUUAAAUGAGGCACGGGUAUAACCCUUUCAAUUUUGCAACUUGGGGGCAUAUGUGUUUUAGAAACAUCUCUUGUGUUGUAUUAUAUGAAUUACAGGUUUUAGUGUGCUCAGUUUAGAGAAUAGCAUAAAAGUAUUUGAUAAUUAAAUAUCUUGCAGAUUGGCAGUUUACUCCAUGCACCGACAGGAAUGAUAAACUGUGAUAUUCGUAAAUGGAACUGGGACACGUUCUAAAUAUACUCAGGGACAGAAUGAUGUGCAGCAAGGCUCGUCAUGGAUUUUACCAAAUACAGAACACUGCAAGGCUUGCAAAAUGAAGACCUCAGUAAAAAAAAUUCUAAAUUAUCCACUAAUGGCAGCUCACUACCUGCCCCUAGUGAUGCUAAAAGAGGCCGUUGUUCUCAUUUGUUCCAAAACAGGAAUGGCAUAUGAGGAGGCCAACAGAAGAUGCACCUCCACUGACCUCCACUGAGUGUGCACUCACAAAACGAAUAAAUUAUUAUUAUUUCU